rnacentral:rRNA from 1 species
GAUGAACGCUAGCGAUAGGCUUAACACAUGCAAGUCGAGGGGCAGCAUGGUCUUAGCUUGCUAAGACUGAUGGCGACCGGCGCACGGGUGCGUAACGCGUAUGCAACUUGCCUCACAGAGGGGGAUAACCCGUCGAACGACGGACUAAUACCGCGUACACUCCACCUUGGGCAUCCAAGGAGGAGGAAAUGAAUUUCGCUGUGAGAUAGGCAUGCGUCCCAUUAGCUUGUUGGUGAGGUAACGGCUCACCAAGGCGACGAUGGGUAGGGGAACUGAGAGGUUGAACCCCCACACUGGUACUGAGACACGGACCAG